rnacentral:rRNA from 1 species
AUGGCGACGGCGACGCUCCCAGUUACCUGUCCUCUCCACUUUUUCCUCUUCAUGUCUAGCAUCGUCGUCGCCGCCGGCGUCGCGGCCACGGAGAGAGUCCCAAAUCCAAACAACAACACCACCGGCACCACGUCCGCCUGCCCGUUGUACCGCUGCGGCCACGCCGUGGACAUCCGGUACCCGUUUUGGAUCGACGGCGGGAACGGCACAUUGAACGGCUCCCACCACUGUGGGUACCCGAGCCUCCGGCUGGAGUGCCGGCGCGACACGCCGGUCCUGCGGCUCCCGUCGGGCGACUACGCGGUGACGCACAUCCUCUACGGCGACCGCACGGUGUCCCUGUUCGACCUGGGCGUCUUCUCCCGGUCCAACACGUGCCCGCUCGUCGGCCGCAACCUCACGCUCCCGGACGGCUCGCCGCUGUCGCUCACGGCCAGGGACGCCAACCUCACCUUCUUCAUCCACUGUUCCUUCAUCGGCAUCCCGGCGCACCAGGUGGCGUGCCUGGAGGGCGACGGCCGGCACCACUCGUACGUCUUCCGGGACGGCGACGACCUCACGCCGUACAGCUACGCCGGGCUGUGCCAGGACGUGGUGGGGAUGCCGGUGCUCAGGAGGUCCCUGCUCGGCAGGACGGGGACAGCAGCCAGCGGCCCGCUGGACGCCGUCAUACCGGCGCUGAACAUGGGGUUCGAGCUGAGCUGGAGGCCGGAGGCGAGCGGGGAGUGCGGCGGCUGCGAGAAAUCCGGCGGCCUGUGCGGUCACCGUCGGCAGGCGGCGCGAGACGCAUGGACUUUCACGUGCUUUAGAACUGCAACGACUCCUGCUGCAUGGGCCACACCCAAAUCUUCAGGUACGCAACACUGUUUCGAUCGCCUUCAAUCAGGAGUGUGGAUUUUGUCU